CCUACGGGAGGCAGCAGUGGGGAAUAUUGCACAAUGGGGGAAACCCUGAUGCAGCGACGCCGCGUGAGUGAAGAAGUAUUUCGGUACGUAAAGCUCUAUCAGCAGGGAAGAAAAUGACGGUACCUGACUAAGAAGCCCCGGCUAACUACGUGCCAGCAGCCGCGGUAAUACGUAGGGGGCAAGCGUUAUCCGGAUUUACUGGAUGUAAAGGGAGCGUAGACGGCAGCGCAAGUCUGGAGUGAAAUCCCAUGGCUUAACCAUGGAACUGCUUUGGAAAAUGUGCAGCUAGAGUGCAGGAGAGGUAAGCGGAAUUCCUAGUGUAGCGGUGAAAUGCGUAGAUAUUAGGAGGAACACCAGUGGCGAAGGCGGCUUACUGGACUGUAACUGACGUUGAGGCUCGAAAGCGUGGGGAGCAAACAGGAUUAGAUACCCUGGUAGUC
rnacentral:rRNA from 1 species